rnacentral:tRNA from 1 species
AUCUCGGUAGCUUAAUAUCUAAAGCAUUAGACUUGUAAACUAAAAAUGGAGCCCCUCCCCAAGAUC